UACGUAGGGGGCAAGCGUUGUCCGGAAUCAUUGGGCGUAAAGAGCGUGUAGGCGGCCCGGUAAGUCCGCUGUGAAAGUCCAGGGCUCAACCCUGGGAUGCCGGUGGAUACUGUCGGGCUCGAGUCCGGAAGAGGAGUGUGGAAUUCCUGGUGUAGCGGUGAAAUGCGCAGAUAUCAGGAGGAACACCUAUGGCGAAGGCAGCUCGCUGGGACGGUACUGACGCUGAGGCGCGAAAGCGUGGGGAGCGAACAGG
rnacentral:rRNA from 1 species